rnacentral:rRNA from 1 species
UACGUAGGGUGCAAGCGUUGUCCGGAAUUAUUGGGCGUAAAGAGCUUGUAGGCGGUUUGUCGCGUCUGAUGUGAAAUUCCAGGGCUCAACCCUGGACCUGCAUUCGAUACGGGCGGACUAGAGUUCGGUAGGGGAGACUGGAAUUCCUGGUGUAGCGGUGAAAUGCGCAGAUAUCAGGAGGAACACCGGUGGCGAAGGCGACGUCCUGGACCGGUAUUGACGCUGAGGCGCGAAAGCCAGGGGAGCAAACGGG